rnacentral:rRNA from 1 species
AUACGUAGGGGGCAAGCGUUGUCCGGAAUUACUGGGCGUAAAGAGCUCGUAGGCGGCUCAGCAAGUCGGUCGUGAAAGCCCGAGGCUCAACCUCGGAACUGCGGUCGAUACUGCUGUGGCUAGAGUCCGGUAGAGGAGAGUGGAAUUCCCGGUGUAGCGGUGGACUGCGCAGAUAUCGGGAGGAACACCAGUGGCGAAGGCGGCUCUCUGGGCCGGUACUGACGCUGAGGAGCGAAAGCGUGGGGAGCAAACAGGAUUAGAAACCCCAGUAGUCC